rnacentral:rRNA from 1 species
AGUGAACGCUGGCGGUAGGCCUAACACAUGCAAGUCGAACGGCAGCACAGGAGAGCUUGCUCUCUGGGUGGCGAGUGGCGGACGGGUGAGGAAUACAUCGGAAUCUACUCUGCUGUGGGGGAUAACGUAGGGAAACUUACGCUAAUACCGCAUACGACCUACGGGUGAAAGCAGGGGAUCUUCGGACCUUGCGCGAUUGAAUGAGCCGAUGUCGGAUUAGCUAGUUGGCGGGGAAAAGGCCCACCAAGGCGACGAUCCGUAGCUGGUCUGAGAGGAUGAUCAGCCACACUGGAACUGAGACACGGUCCAGACUCCUACGGGAGGCAGCAGUGGGGAAUAUUGGACAAUGGGCGCAAGCCUGAUCCAGCCAUACCGCGUGGGUGAAGAAGGCCUUCGGGUUGUAAAGCCCUUUUGUUGGGAAAGAAAUCCAGCUGGCUAAUACCCGGUUGGGAUGACGGUACCCAAAGAAUAAGCACCGGCUAACUUCGUGCCAGCCGCCGCUGUAA